rnacentral:rRNA from 1 species
AUUGAACGCUGGCGGAAUGCUUUACACAUGCAAGUCGAGCGGCAGCGCGGGGCAACCUGGCGGCGAGCGGCGAACGGGUGAGUAAUGUAUCGGAACGUGUCCUGUCGUGGGGGAUAGCCCGGUGAAAACCGGAUUAAUACCGCAUACGAUCGAGAGAUGAAAGUGGGGGACCGCAAGGCCUCACGCGAUAGGAGCGGCCGAUAUCUGAUUAGCUAGUUGGUGGGGUAAAGGCCCACCAAGGCGACGAUCAGUAGCUGGUCUGAGAGGAUGAUCAGCCACGCUGGGACUGAGACACGGCCCAGACUCCUACGGGAGGCAGCAGUGGGGAAGUUUGGACAAUGGGGGCAACCCUGAUCCAGCCAUUCCGCGUGAGUGAAGAAGGCCUUCGGGUUGUAAAGCUCUUUUGUCCGGGAAGAAACGGUUUCACCUAAUACGUGAGACUACUGACGGUACCGGAAGAAUAAGGACCGGCUAACUACGUGCCAGCCGCCGCGGUAAAAC